rnacentral:ncRNA from 1 species
GCUGUGACCCCUCAUGUCAAAGUGAGGAAAUUCGAUGAAGCGGGGGUAAACGGCGGGACAUAAUUAAGAGUCUCUUGAGGUAGCCCAAUGCCUCGUCAUCUAAUUAGUUAGGCAUAUUAAU